rnacentral:sRNA from 12 species
AGACCCAUCCCGUGGGAAUUAAAGGCCGAACGGACAGCCGGGGUCGAAUGCCGA